AUGAACAGCGGGUAUGAGGUUCACCCUGGGCACACGGCCCGAACCGCCUUCGGGCUGAUGACUUCUGCAGGGAU
rnacentral:ncRNA from 1 species